GGAAUUUUGGACAAUGGGCGAAAGCCUGAUCCAGCAAUGCCGCGUGCAGGAUGAAGGCCUUCGGGUUGUAAACUGCUUUUGUACGGAACGAAAAGUCUCGGGAUAAUACCCUGGGACCAUGACGGUACCGUAAGAAUAAGCACCGGCUAACUACGUGCCAGCAGCCGCGGUAAUACGUAGGGUGCAAGCGUUAAUCGGAAUUACUGGGCGUAAAGCGUGCGCAGGCGGUUAUAUAAGACAGAUGUGAAAUCCCCGGGCUCAACCUGGGAACUGCAUUUGUGACUGUAUAGCUAGAGUACGGUAGAGGGGGAUGGAAUUCCGCGUGUAGCAGUGAAAUGCGUAGAUAUGCGGAGGAACACCGAUGGCGAAGGCAAUCCCCUGGACCUGUACUGACGCUCAUGCACGAAAGCGUGGGGAGCAAACAGGAUUAGAUACCCCUG
rnacentral:rRNA from 1 species